rnacentral:lncRNA from 1 species
GGGGGACAGGGCCGUCAGCCAUGGCGCAGGCACAGGGCCUCAGAUGGUGCAGUUGCUCUCUCCGAAGCGCCGGCACUUCAUCACCUUCAGGUAGGUCUCCACCUUGUGCAGAUCCUUCUUGAAGCAGGACAGCAGGCCGUAGUUCUUCAGCAGGGCGUCCUCGUUGCGCAGGUGGAUGUCGAACUUGUCGUAGUUUUCUAGUGGGCAGAGCUCUGACCCAGCCCUGGCCGUCGUGGAGCUGUGAGCUGCACCCACUGCUCACCCCGCGUGGCUCGGAAGUGUUUGGGGUAAGUAAGCAGCAGUGGAAGGGAUGGAGAUGGUCUGCGUAUCGGUUGUCAGCACCUGCGCUCGUAUCAGUGGACAGUAAGAUCUGGAAGUGGUGCUGCACAUGGAGCUGCAGCUGAAGUGUCAUGGAAUCACAGCGUGGUUGGGUUGGAAGGGGC